AUUGAACGCUGGCGGCAUGCCUUACACAUGCAAGACGAACGGUAACGCGGGGCAACCUGGCGACGAGUGGCGAACGGGUGAGUAAUGCAUCGGAACGUGCCCAGUAGUGGGGGAUAGCCCGGCGAAAGCCGGAUUAAUACCGCAUACGACCUACGGGUGAAAGCGGGGGACCGUAAGGCCUCGCGCUAUUGGAGCGGCCGAUGUCAGAUUAGGUUGUUGGUGGGGUAAAAGCCUACCAAGCCUGUGAUCUGUAGCUGGUCUGAGAGGACGACCAGCCACACUGGGACUGAGACACGGCCCAGACUCCUACGGGAGGCAGCAGUGGGGAAUUUUGGACAAUGGGCGAAAGCCUGAUCCAGCAAUGCCGCGUGCGGGAAGAAGGCCUUCGGGUUGUAAACCGCUUUUGUCAGGGAAGAAAUCCUUUGGGCUAAUACCUCGGGGGGAUGACGGUACCUGAAGAAUAAGCACCGGCUAACUACGUGACAGCAGCCGCGGUAAUACGUAGGGUGCGAGCGUUAAUCGGAAUUACUGGGCGUAAAGCGUGCGCAGGCGGUUGUGCAAGACAGAUGUGAAAUCCCCGGGCUCAACCUGGGAACUGCAUUUGUGACUGCACGGC
rnacentral:rRNA from 1 species